UUUGCCUUUCACCCAGAACACUGCCCUGGUACCUCCCAAGGCCAUUCCUUGCCUCCCUCUCCACUCCCAACCAUCUCCCAGUGCCCUCGUUUUUGUCCUCCUCCAUCAUCCUCCUCCUGUCCCCACCAAGCCUCUCCCUUGCAGUCCCCAUGUCCCUACACUUGAAUUCCUUUCCCCUCCCCUGCAUCCCACACAGGGCCCCUUCAACACCCCAAUCCCAGUCCCGUGGGCUCCCCAGUUCCCCCCAGUUCAGCAUCUUUGGGUCCCCCCCAACCUCCCCCCACCCUCCCUGCAGGCCCUGAAUUCCCCUGGCUCUCCUUGUCUCCAUCCCCACCCUGGGCCCUGCAGGAACAGGGGUUGGAGGUGAAACUGGGUGCAGUGGGAGCGGGGGGAGCAGAAGGGAUUUUCCCCCUCAGACCGGGGCAGCCAUGGGCUGGGGGGGCUGGGGACACCCGUGUCCCUCCCCCAGCCCCACAGGGGCCAAUCCUGAGCAACCCUUUGCUCUCCUUGUCCAGGCACUCUUGGCAGGAACCCAAAAUGAUCUGCGGGAGCCCCCUGUGGCUGAGAAGGUGGUGGGUCCUGUUGGUGAGAUGUGGCUGCAUCCCUGGAUGGCUGAGGACUGGUGGUGACACCCGUGCCCUGUCCCCCUCCAGUGGCAUGAGGAGAUGAUCAUCCCUGGAAGAACCCCCUGAUUUCCCUCAGAGCCCAGGGGCAUUUCCCCUGAAUGAUCAAUAAAUCCCUUC